rnacentral:rRNA from 1 species
GACAGAGGUGCCGAGCGUUAGGCGGAAUCACUGGGCUUACAGAGUUCGUAGGCGGUCUGGAAAGUUGGGUGUGAAAUCCCUCGGCUCAACCGAGGAACUGCGCUCAAAACUGCCAGACUCGAGGGAGAUAGAGGAAAGCGGAACUGAUGGUGGAGCGGUGAAAUGCGUUGAUAUCAUCAGGAACACCGGUGGCGAAGGCGGCUUUCUGGGUCUUACCUGACGCUGAGGAGCGAAAGCGUGGGGAGCGAACAGG